GAAGCGAGAGAACGUUGCCGCAGGCAACGGCCCGAAGGGCGAGGCGCUUUAGCGCCGAGUAAUCCUUCCCCCACCACCA
rnacentral:sRNA from 2 species